GACGAACGCUGGCGGCGUGCCUAAUACAUGCAAGUUGAGCGAUGAAGCUUGGUGCUUGCACCAAUUUGAAGAGCAGCGAACGGGUGAGUAACGCGUGGGGAAUCUGCCUUUGAGCGGGGGACAACAUUUGGAAACGAAUGCUAAUACCGCAUAACAACUUUAAACAUAAGUUUUAAGUUUGAAAGAUGCAAUUGCAUCACUCAAAGAUGAUCCCGCGUUGUAUUAGCUAGUUGGUGAGGUAAAGGCUCACCAAGGCGACGAUACAUAGCCGACCUGAGAGGGUGAUCGGCCACAGUGGGACUGAGACACGGCCCAAACGCCUACGGGAGGCAGCAGUAGGGAAUCUUCGGCAAUGGACGAAAGUCUGACCGAGCAACGCCGCGUGAGUGAAGAAGGUUGUCGGAUCGUAAAACUCUGUUGGUAGAGAAGAACGUUGGUGAGAGUGGAAAGCUCAUCAAGUGACGGUAACUACCCAGAAAGGGACGGCUAACUACGUG
rnacentral:rRNA from 1 species